ensembl:lncRNA
UCAAUAACAUGGAGGGUUUAGUCCAAAUUUCAGAGGCCUGUAUUCCCAAAUCCCUUAAGCUUUAAUUAACGAUUAACAGAGCAGCAGGAUAUGGAGAGGGACAAGAAAUCUUUGCCGUGGAGUCAGUGCCAAAGGGGAUUAUUAAUAACCCCCACCCUGAGACAGCACUUCACAGUUUACAGAGCGUUUCCACCACCAUUAUCUUCUUUGAAUAUUCAUUUCCUUGUCUCUCUGAGCCCGUUCUCUGGUUGCUGAGUGUCUUUUUCACCCGGCCCGUCUUGACUUUCAGAUCUCGUCUCCUGUGUCUGAGUAAGUCCACGGCCAGCUUGGCCGUUCGCUUUAGGAGACGCACACGGGAAGCUGCGGAGAGUGGGAGCAGCUCUGACCUCCACCUUCCUCCAGGUCCGUGGCCUUGGGCAGUUGCCGAACUCCUUUAGACUUCAGUUUGCUUUUCUUUCUCACCCCCGUGUGUAUCUCUGCUGUCCAACAUGGUGACCAGUUUCACCUGUGGCUAGUUGUGCAUAAGGAAUUAAAAUUAAGUAAAAGCCCGUUGGUUGCACGAGGCACAGGCCAAACACUGAGCAGCUGGUCGCUGGUGUUGCUGUCUUGGGCAGCUCAGGUGUGGCGCAUGUCCAUCUUCGCCGAGCGUUCUUGGGGCGGGGCAGGGACGGGAGGCAGCUCUCGUCUUUUGAGGGUGGUGUGGGGAGCAUUUAGUGAGAAAACGCUGAGCGGGCAUGUGGCUUAUAACAGAUGCUCGCCAAUAGCAUCUGUGAUGAGGUGGAGGGGUGGGAGGAGAGGAAAGGAGGGCUCCCACAAAGCCCCUCCUACCCUCAUGGUUUUUUUUUUUUUUUUUUAGGGGGGAGGGGAGUAUAGUUGAUUUACAACAUGUGUUAGAUCCAGGUGUAUCUUCCUGUGCUUGAUAUGAUGCAAAAAACAAUGGAGGAAACAUUAUGGAAGAGAGAGCAACUUCUACUCAGUGUAGUUGAUGUGCUCUGUCAUCUCUGUCUCUGGGUUGUAAUUCCACAAGUUGGUGCUGACCAUCUCCCAUAGUCCUCACAGUAGCCUAGUGAGGGAGCUUUUCUGUCCCUCACCAACAGGCGAGUGGAGUAGCAGGGGCUCAGGCAGGUGACACGGACACCUGAAAUGCUGGGCCGGAGGGCAUUGGAGCCGGGCCCCCCCUGCCCUAGGACCAGAAGGACCCAGGACCCAUUUUCUCUCCCACCUCCAUCGGCAGACUUCCAGCUCAUUCUUGCUGAGAUACAAGUGACCGCAAUGCACAAGGCGAGGGGAGCUGUUAACUCGGGUCCUGAACAGCGUGUGUUCUGAUGAGUUUUUAUGAUCAUCUCCCCGACGCACAGCUCCCCUGCAGAGCCCUCUCCCUGACCGCAUCUUUGGAGCUUGGCGCUGCUCCGUCAUUUGAUCCUGAGAAGUAAACACUGAGACUGCUCCCCCUGAAAGCCUCUCCGGCUACUCCCUAUGUAGCCUGGCAGGAUCCUACUCCCAGCUCAAGCGGAAUGUGAUGUGUCCAAUUUGUUUGCCUCUGCACAUCAUCUGCUCACAGAUGUUUGUCCUUUGGCUUGUUUCGUUUUCUAAUUAAUUUCAGAUUAAGUUUGGAAACACCUUCUGUCUCCACCAGUUCCUGCCACCCCAGCCUGAGUCAGACCCCAAGCCUGAUCAGCUCGUAGAAUCAUUUACCGUCCAGCUGAACCUGACAACACAGAACCUGUCUCGUGGUUUCGCUCAGUGAUGGCGUCCUUGACCGUAGCAACGAGGUCCCCCCCUUUGAGGGAUGGUGGAGACGGUUUGAAUGAUCCCUCAGAAAAGGGAGCCCAGCAGUCUGGGAUUAGUCCAGCU